rnacentral:rRNA from 1 species
UGAGGAAUAUUGGUCAAUGGGUGCAAGCCUGAACCAGCCAUCCCGCGUGAAGGACGACUGCCCUAUGGGUUGUAAACUUCUUUUGUAUAGGGAUAAACCUACCCUCGUGAGGGUAGCUGAAGGUACUAUACGAAUAAGCACCGGCUAACUCCGUGCCAGCAGCCGCGGUAAUACGGAGGGUGCAAGCGUUAUCCGGAUAUAUUGGGUUUAAAGGGUCCGUAGGCGGACUUAUAAGUCAGUGGUGAAAGCCUGUCGCUUAACGAUAGAACUGCCAUUGAUACUGUAAGUCUUGAGUAUAUUUGAGGUAGCUGGAAUAAGUAGUGUAGCGGUGAAAUGCAUAGAUAUUACUUAGAACACCAAUUGCGAAGGCAGGUUACCAAGAUAUAACUGACGCUGAGGGACGAAAGCGUGGGGAGCGAACA